CGUGGGUAACCUGCCCAAGAGACUGGGAUAACACCUGGAAACAGAUGCUAAUACCGGAUAACAACACUAGACGCAUGUCUAGAGUUUAAAAGAUGGUUCUGCUAUCACUCUUGGAUGGACCUGCGGUGCAUUAGCUAGUUGGUAAGGUAACGGCUUACCAAGGCAAUGAUGCAUAGCCGAGUUGAGAGACUGAGCGGCCACAUUGGGACUGAGACACGGCCCAAACUCCUACGGAAGGCAGCAG
rnacentral:rRNA from 1 species